UACAGAGGGUGCGAGCGUUGUUCGGAAUUAUUGGGCGUAAAGGGCGCGUAGGCGGUGCCACAAGUCACUUGUGAAAUCUCCGGGCUUAACUCGGAGCCUGCAGGCGAAACUGUGGUGCUGGAGUGUGGGAGAGGUGCGUGGAAUUCCCGGUGUAGCGGUGAAAUGCGUAGAUAUCAGGAGGAACACCGGUGGCGAAGGCGGGUCUCUGGGCCGUAACUGACGCUGAGGAGCGAAAGCGUGGGGAGCGAACAGG
rnacentral:rRNA from 1 species